rnacentral:lncRNA from 1 species
UCAACCCAAUUCAACUCAAUUCAACCCAAUUCAACUCAACUCAACCCAACUCAACCCAAUUCAACCCAAUUCAACCCAAUUCAACCCAAUUCAACCCAAUUCAACUCAAUCCAACCCAAAACAACUCAACCCAACUCAACCCAAUUGGAUUCAACUCAAUUCAACCCAAUUCAACCCAAUUCAACUCAAUUCAACCCAAUUCAACCCAAUUCAACCCAACUCAACCCAAUUCAACCCAACUGAACCCAAUUCAACUCAAUCCAACCCAAAACAACCCAACCCAACUCAACCCAAUCCAACCCAACUGAAUCCAAUUGGAUUCAGCUCAAUUCAACCCAAUUCAACCCAAUUCAACUCAACCCAACCCAACUCAACCCAACUCAACCCAAUUCAACUCAAUUCAACCCAAUUCAACUCAACCCAAUUCAACCCAAUUCAACCCAACCCAACUCAAUUCAACCCAAUUCAACCCAAUUCAACCCAAUUCAACUCAAUUCAACCCAACUCAACCCAAUUCAACCCAAUUCAACUCAUUUCAACUCAACUCAUCCCACCCCAACCCCACAACCCCAAAUCAACCCAACUCAACCCAAUUGGAUUCAACUCAAUUCAACCCAACUCAUCCCAUCCCAACCCCACAACCCCACUGACCCCCAACCAUCUCCCCAUAGAACUCCCGCUACCAGACGUACCAGCCCCAAACCCCAAUAACCCCAAUAACCCCAUAUAUAACCCCAUAUCUCCCCAUAGAACUCCCGUUACCAGACGUACCAGCCCCUAUCCCUAACCCUAAUACCCCCAAUACCCCCCAUAACCCCAUAUAUAACCCCAUAUCUCCCCAUAGAACUCCUGCUACCAGACGUACCAACCCAACCCAUCCCAGCCCCACAACCCCACUGACCCCCAACCAUCUCCCCAUAGAACUCCCGCUACCAGACGUACCAGCCCCUAUCCCUAACCCUAACCCUAAUUACCCCCAAUACCCCCACUACACCCCAUAUAUCAACCCCAUAUCUCCCGCCAUAGAACCUGCCUACGCAGACCGUCACAGCCUUCUACUCAUCCCU